rnacentral:sRNA from 1 species
CCUGCACCGCACACUCCACAACAUGAUGAAGAAGCUCUUCCUGCAGUGAGUGCUCCUCCUCCCUGGGCUGUCCACCACGUCCUCAGCUGGGCUGGUCCCUUACUCCCCAGAACCAGAGACAUGGCCAGCCAGUGCCUCUGGGAUAAGUAGUGUAUUUCUGAGUUUGUGGAGCAUAACAAUCCAAAGGAUCCCAGAGAAACACGCAGCUGCUGCUGCAGCGUCGCCUGCACAUCCUGCAGAGAACACUAGGUGGCACCUCCUCUCCUGCCCCUUUCCUGCACAAAGUCAUGCUACACAUUGUAUUGCUGUGUGCCUUGUUGUUUUAGUGAAAAUAUGCCUGUGUCAGGAGAUCUGUGUGAGGACAUGCCAUAUGAAAGAACAUUUAGCCUCUCUCCAGCCUUGUGCCGUCGUUACAAAUAGCAAAUCAGUGAGAGGCUUCGUGCGUGAGCUCAUGCAGAUAGAUCCGUGGGGUAACUUCUGGGGCAUAGCCCUCUUGCAGGCCUCAGAGGUGUUGUAACUCGGGAUGAAUCCUGAUUUGAUGGACUUCACCAGAGCGGCCCCACAGAGGCCCCUUGUGGACACUUCUUCCCUGGCCGCGCCUCACCAACAUGGCCGGGGAUUAUUACCCAACUGCUGGGCUAAAAGUGCUUCUCGGUGCAGUCUUAACUUAGGAUUCUUACAAUGAAUGAAGUCGAAUUUUCUCUUCUAGUCCUUUGUCUAUUUUUCUGUAGUUUUGGUGGUUCUUCUCUUAUUAAGUAUCGAAUGAGCUGUCUCCAUACAAAAAGUUGCCACUUUUCUGUGAUAAGAAUUUGCUAAUUUUUUCCUGUUUUUGGUUAUCUUUUGCCUUUGUUUGUGGUGGAUUUUUGCCAUGCAGAAAUCUUUGCUCUUCAUUAGCUUCUGGGUUCUAGUGUAUCUCGGAGGCUUUUCUGCUUCAGGACCCUCAGCUCUUUUCCCUCGUGGAUUUUCUGGGUGCCCUCUGGCUCUCCACAACCGUGGCGUCUCCACCACGGACUCUCAACUUGCUCCACAGGCUCAUCGCUGAGUUCAAGCGCCUGGGGUCAUCAGUCAUCUACGCCAACUUCAACCGCAUCAUCCUCUGUACAAAGAAGCGCCGUGUGGAAGAUGCCAUCGCUUACGUGGAGUACAUCACCAGCAGCAUCCAUUCGAAGGAGAUCUUCCAUUCUUUGACGAUUUCUUUCUCUCGAUGCUGGGAAUUUCUUCUCUGGAUGGAUCCAUCUAACUAUGGCGGAAUCAAAGGAAAAGUUUCAUCUCGUAUUCACUGCGGACUGCAAGACUCCCAGAAAGCAGGGGGAGCAGAGGAUGAGCAGGAAAAUGAGGACGAUGAGGAGGAAAGAGAUGGGGAGGAGGAGGAAGAGGCGGAGGAAUCCAACGUGGAGGAUUUACUGGAAAACAACUGGAACAUUUUGCAGUUUUUGCCACAGGCAGCCUCCUGCCAGAACUACUUCCUCAUGAUUGUUUCAGCGUACAUCGUGGCCGUGUACCACUGUAUGAAGGACGGGCUGAGGCGCAGUGCUCCAGGGAGCACCCCCGUGAGGAGGAGGGGGGCCAGCCAGCUCUCCCAGGAGGCCGAGGGGGCGGUCGGAGCCCUUCCCGGAAUGAUCACCUUCUCUCAGGAUUAUGUCGCAAAUGAACUCACUCAGAGCUUCUUCACCAU